UACAGAGGUCCCAAGCGUUGUUCGGAUUCACUGGGCGUAAAGGGUGCGUAGGCGGUCGGGUAAGUCUGACGUGAAAUCUUCAAGCUCAACUUGGAAACUGCGUCGGAUACUAUUCGGCUAGAGGAAUGGAGGGGAGACUGGAAUACUUGGUGCAGCAGUGAAAUGCGUAGAUAUCAAGUGGAACACCAGUGGCGAAGGCGAGUCUCUGGACAUUUCCUGACGCUGAGGCACGAAAGCCAGGGGAGCAAACGGG
rnacentral:rRNA from 1 species